UGGGGAAUAUUGCACAAUGGGGGAAACCCUGAUGCAGCGACGCCGCGUGAGCGAAGAAGUAUUUCGGUAUGUAAAGCUCUAUCAGCAGGGAAGAAAAUGACGGUACCUGACUAAGAAGCCCCGGCUAACUACGUGCC
rnacentral:rRNA from 1 species